rnacentral:tRNA from 1 species
CGGAUAGCGUAGUGGAAGAGUCUCUGGCUGCCAACACAGAGUCCUGGGUUCGAUUCCCAGAUAGCACGA